AAGUUUCAGACGAAAAGCGAAUGAAAGAAAAGUCCCGAGCCCAAAACCCGAAAGAAAUUAGCUAGGAGAGUUUCGUAAUUCGUCGCAAGGGCAAAAUUGGUAUUUCACGUACACAAGUAUAAAUAGAAAACUUGGAAACCCUAAAAAAACCAAAACUCUCAUUUCUCUCCCUCACUCUCGGCCGCGUUCUCUCUCUCCCCGACUUCUCCUUCUCGCACACUCUCCCUUCUUCCCUCUGCAACCACCGGAAAACACCGGUUCCGGCCACCACCUCCUGGCAUCGCCUCCACCCUUCGAACCAGCAUCCAAAUCCGACCCAAGCCCGAGCCUCAUCACCCACCUGCACUGCCUCCGGCCCCCAAACCGCGACACCACUGCUUUCCUUAAUCCUCCGAUUUCCAGUCGCCGAUUCACGCCACCAAUGCCAGAAAUUGAAGCACCAAGCCCUAGAGAGCAAAACCCGAACCAUAGCCUCAAACUCCGACCACCGGAAAAUGCCAUGCAAGCUCGCCGGAACUCGAGGUUCUGCAUGUCUCCAUUCUCCGAUCUCCAGCUCGAAUCGAGCUUCAACACUUCCAUAAACGGAGUCAGAGCUACACUAUCCUUCGAAACCCCUAACCCAGACCUUUGACUCCAACCAGAGCCGCCGCACACCGCCGUAGCUCCGCCGUGUACAUCGCCGAUAUAUCCAAUCUUUCUGGUAAGCCAACCCGAGGCCCCCUUUCCUUGUCCCAUUGAGUUUCUAAUUUCGAAAUAAUGGGUCUCUGAUGCUUUGUUCUUCGAUUGGGGAUAUUUGAACAUUGGGUACGGAGGAGACGGAGAAGUACAGAUUAGAAGGAAAGGCUACUGGUCUUGAGUUCGAAUGUGUUCUUAAAGGAAUGAUGAAGAGAUGAUGGCGACUGCAAGAUGCAGCACGUAGUGAAGGAUGUGGUCUCGGUAGAAUGGGUAAGGAACACAGGCUUUCGAAUUUUGAAUUUGACUGUUGUUGGGACAUUGAGGUUAAUUAAUUAAGGAUGUUGUUUUAUGGAGGAAAUGAGGUCUGCGGAACUGCAAGCUUUCGGAGAAGGGAAGUGCUGGGUCAGUUCCAUUUGUAUUGAGGAAUUGGGAAUCUGAAUGGAUUGAUGGUGGUGGAAAAAGCAUCUGGCUUGAAUCGAAUCCAUGUUUGGAAAAGAAGAAAUGGACCCGAGCGUGUGCAUUUGGAAGUGGACAAAGUGUUGAAAGUCGAGAACGAACCCGAAUGUGGGCAAGCACUCCAAUUCCAGUGUGCAGGUUUCGAGCAUGUGGUCGGGAAGCGUACAGGGGAGGCACAUGGCACGGCUUGGCGCAUUUCUCUUUAGUUUUAUCAAAAGAAGGGAAUACUAACUAAGGUGACUUCGCUUGCUGCUCAAGAAUUCAGUCUCGUAUUGGGUUUGAAAGCUGAUCUAGUACAGCUGCGUGACUCGUUCCUCAAGAUUCAAGCUAUGCUAAGAGACUUAGACCAUUCACAAGUUCAGGGGGAGGUUGUGGAAAUGUGGGUGAAGGAUCUUGAAGACAUAGCUCACGAAACCGAUGAUGUGUUAGAUGAAAUUGGGUAUGAAUUUAUCCGACGCAAAGUAGAAAUGCAAUACCAGAUGAAGAAAAAGGUGAAAAGUUUCUUCUCCCACUCCAAUCCCAUUGCAUUUCGCUCAAAAAUGGCACAUAAAAUCAAGAAAAUCAACAUAUCUUUUGUGAAAUUAUUCAAUCAGGCAGUUGGCACUAUUGGGUUAGUUGCUAGGACAUUUGCUGAUGCAAGUCAUGCAAUCUCACAAGAUGUUGAAGUACUUGACAGGGAGACCUUCUCCAACUUUGAUAGCGAUGAGAAGCUCAUCAUUGGAAGGGAGGAGGUUGUGUCAGAUAUAGUCAAAACCAGGGGCGGAGCCACGUUGGGGCACGGUGGGUCCCAUGCCCCAGUGAGAUUUUUUUAAAAUAUAUACAAUCUGGUUUCAUAAUAUAACUAAGUGCUACCUUGUUGUGGUGGUUGAAUCACAUACAU